GACGAACCGUGCGAACGUUAUUCGGAAUCACUGGGCUUAAAGCGCGUGUAGGCGGAUGGGGACGUCGGUUGCUGAAAUCCCCCGGCUCAACCGGGGAACUGGCACCGAAACGCCCCGUCUCGAGGGACGUAGGGGGACCUGGAACUUCCGGUGGAGCGGUGAAAUGCGUUGAGAUCGGAAGGAACGCCCGUGGCGAAAGCGAGGUCCUGGACGUUUUCUGACGCUGAGACGCGAAAGCUAGGGGAGCGAACGGG
rnacentral:rRNA from 1 species